AACACUUGAGUUAGUGGACUGCAGAAGGCAGACCCACCCUUAAUCUGGGUGGGCACAAUCUAAUCAGCUGCCAGCAUGGCCAGAAUAAAAGCAGGCAGAAGAACGUGAAAACACUUGACUGGCUUAGCCUCCCAGCCUACAUCUUUCUCCCGUGCUGGAUGCUUCCUGCCCUUGAACAUUGGACUCCAAGUUCUUCAGCUUUUGGGCUCAGACUCGCUUCCUUGCUCCUCAGCUUGCAGACAGCCUAUUAUGGGACCUUGUGAUCAGACUAACCAGAACCAGAUACAGAGACCAGAAGUAUCAGUAGGAAGAACAGAACAAGAAUCUGUUCAUUCAACAUUUUGUCCUGGCUUUUUCUGGAUGCUGAGGAUUCAGUGAUAACAAAGAAAAAUCUAUGUCUCCACUGGAACUUAUAUUAUUGUGGAAUACAAGAAAUAAAAAUUUUAUGUUUUCAAGUAAUUUGUUCAUUCAUCAAACAUUAAGAAAAUAAAUGAAUAUAUCCUUUGUGUCAAA